UACGUAGGGUGCAAGCGUUAAUCGGAAUUACUGGGCGUAAAGGGUUCGUAGGUGGCUUGCUAAGUCAGACGUGAAAUCCCUCAGCUUAACUGGGGAACUGCGUCUGAGACUGGUGAGCUUGAGUGCAGGAGAGGAACGCGGAAUUCCAGGUGUAGCGGUGAAAUGCGUAGAUAUCUGGAGGAAGGCCAGUGGCGAAGGCGGGUCUCUGGACAGUUCCUGACACUGAGGCACGAAGGCCAGGGGAGCAAACGGG
rnacentral:rRNA from 1 species